UGUGUGUGAAUAUUAGCACAAUGGGGGAAACCCUGAUGCAGCAACGCCGCGUGAGUGAUGAAGGUUUUCGGAUCGUAAAGCUCUGUCUUUGGGGAAGAUAAUGACGGUACCCAAGGAGGAAGCCACGGCUAACUACGUGCCAGCAGCCGCG
rnacentral:rRNA from 1 species